rnacentral:misc_RNA from 1 species
AACGCAUCUUGCGCUCUUGGGUUAUUCCUAAGAGCAUGCUUGUUUGAGUGUCACGAAACCUCUCAACCCCGCUUUCUUAAUUGAGAGUAGUUUGGGCUUGGAUCAUGAUGUCUUGUCGUGUUACAACGACUGCAUUGAAAUACAACAAGCUGAAUCAUCACACUUGCGGCUUGACCUAUUGUUGUAGAAACUAAGGAGUUCUCAAUAGGAACGCAUUAAAGUUGAAUGAGCUUACCAUAAAAGGAUCUUUACUUUUUCUUUCUUUCGGGAAACAGAAGUCUAGAGCUUAGUGAUUUUCGACCUCAAAUCAAGUAGGACUACCCGCUGAACUUAA